AAGGCGGCUUCGGCUGUCACUUAUGGAUGGACCCGCGUCGCAUUAGCUAGUUGGUGAGGUAACGGCUCACCAAGGCAACGAUGCGUAGCCGACCUGAGAGGGUGAUCGGCCACACUGGGACUGAGACACGGCCCAGACUCCUACGGGAGGCAGCAGUAGGGAAUCUUCCGCAAUGGACGAAAGUCUGACGGAGCAACGCCGCGUGAGUGAUGAAGGCUUUCGGGUCGUAAAACUCUGUUGUUAGGGAAGAACAAGUGCUAGUUGAAUAAGCUGGCACCUUGACGGUACCUAACCAGAAAGCCACGGCUAACUACGUGC
rnacentral:rRNA from 1 species